rnacentral:misc_RNA from 1 species
UUAGUACAACUUUGUGUAAGCUGAGGCACAUCAAGCGUGGGAACUCUUCUGUUGCUUUACUAGAAAUCACGGGAGGCAAAGGUGCUGUCAUUGUUAAUGGCAAGAUUCUUCAAAAAAAUUCAAGUGUAAUUUUAAAUGGAGGUGACGAGGUUGUCUUCACUUCAUCUGGAAAGCAUGCUUAUAUAUUUCAGCAGCUCACUAGUGAUGAUUUUGCUGUUUCCG